GGCUCUGUGGCGCAAUGGAUAGUGCAUUGGACUGCAAGGUCUUCAAAGGUUGUGGGUUCGAAACCCUCCAGAGUUG
rnacentral:tRNA from 1 species